rnacentral:rRNA from 1 species
CAGGCCUAACACAUGCAAGUCGAACGAUGCUUUCGGGCAUAGUGGCGCACGGGUGCGUAACGCGUGGGAAUCUGCCCUUGGGUUCGGGAUAACGUCGGGAAACUGACGCUAAUACCGGAUGAUAGAGCGAGAUCAAAGAUUUAGCGCCCGAGGAUGAGCCCGCUGAGGAUUAGGGAGUUGGUGGGGGAAAGGCCUACCAAGCCGACGAGCCUGAGCUGGGAUGAGAGGAUGAGCAGCCACACUGGGACUGAGACACGGCCCAGACGCUGACGGGAGGCAGCAGUGGGGAAGAUGGGACAAUGGGCGCAAGCCUGAGCCAGCAAUGCCGCGGGAGUGAUGAAGGCCUGAGGGUUGGAAAGCGAUUUGACCCGGGAGGAGAAUGACAGAUCCGGGAGAAGAAGCCCCGGCGAACGCCGUGCCAGCAGCCGCG